rnacentral:misc_RNA from 1 species
AAGUCGUAACAAGGUAACCGUAGGUGAACCUGCGGUUGGAUCAUUAAUGUAUUAUGGUUGGUAUCGUUUGAUCAUCGUCGUUAGAUAUGUUCAUUUUUGAUAUUGACUACAUAUUAAUGGAUGAGUUGCUCUGUUAAAAAGGAGUGAUUCACCAACACCCCAAAAAUUAUCUUGCAUCAAUUAUUUUGAGUUUUGUUUGUCUUUAUAUGGUUAAUUGUUCCCCGUAAAAGGAGUGUCCUUUGACCCUAUGCGACUAACUCAACUAAUAUAAACUUUUAUUCAUUUUAUUCAAGUUAUAUCUAUUAAAAAGAUAAAACAACUUUUGACAAUGGAUCUCUUGGCUCUC